UUACCGAGUUUACAACUCCCAAACCCCUGUGAACAUACCUAUUUGUUGCCUCGGCGGUGCCUGUUCCGACAGCCCGCCAGAGGACCCCAAACCCUGAUUACAUUUAAGAAGUCUUCUGAGUAAACCGAUUAAAUAAAUCAAAACUUUCAACAACGGAUCUCUUGGUUCUGGCAUCGAUGAAGAACGCAGCGAAAUGCGAUAAGUAAUGUGAAUUGCAGAAUUCAGUGAAUCAUCGAAUCUUUGAACGCACAUUGCGCCCGCUAGUAUUCUGGCGGGCAUGCCUGUCCGAGCGUCAUUUCAACCCUCAAGCCCCCGGGCUUGGUGUUGGGGAUCGGCGAGCCUCCGCGCCCGCCGUCCCCUAAAUCUAGUGGCGGUCUCGCUGUAGCUUCCUCUGCGUAGUAGCACACCUCGCACUGGGAAACAGCGCGGCCACGCCGUUAAACCCCCAACUUCUGAACGUUUGACCUCGGAUCAGGUAGGAAUACCCGCUGAACUUAAGCAUAUCAAUAGCGGAG
rnacentral:rRNA from 1 species